rnacentral:rRNA from 1 species
AAUUUUGGACAAUGGGCGCAAGCCUGAUGCAGCAACGCCGCGCGAGUGAUGAAGGCCCUCGGGUCGUAUAGCUGUAUGUUCAGGGAUACUAAUGACAGUACCUGAAAAACAAGCCACAGCGAAGUACGUUCCAGCAGCCGCGGUAAUACGUAGGUUGCGAGCGUUGUCCGGAAUUACUGGGCGUAAAGGAUGCGUAGGUGGAAACUUAAGUUGGAUGUGAAAUCCCCGGGCUCAACCCGGGAACUGCAUUCCAAACUGGGUAUCUAGAGUGCAGGAGAGGAAAGCGGAAUUCCUAGUGUAGCGGUGAAAUGCGUAGAUAUUAGGAGGAACACCAGUGGCGAAGGCGGCUUUCUGGACUGUAACUGACACUGAGGCAUGAAAGCGUGGGUAGCAAACAGG